AUUGAACGCUGGCGGCAGGCCUAACACAUGCAAGUCGAGCGGAUGAAGGGAGCUUGCUCCUGGAUUCAGCGGCGGACGGGUGAGUAAUGCCUAGGAAUCUGCCUGGUAGUGGGGGAUAACGUCCGGAAACGGGCGCUAAUACCGCAUACGUCCUGAGGGAGAAAGUGGGGGAUCUCCGGACCUCACGCUAUCAGAUGAGCCUAGGUCGGAUUAGCUAGUUGGUGGGGUAAAGGCCUACCAAGGCGACGAUCCGUAACUGGUCUGAGAGGAUGAUCAGUCACACUGGAACUGAGACACGGUCCAGACUCCUACGGGAGGCGGCAGUGGGGAAUAUUGGACAAUGGGCGAAAGCCUGAUCCAGCCAUGCCGCGUGUGUGAAGAAGGUCUUCGGAUUGUAAAGCACUUUAAGUUGGGAGGAAGGGCAGUAAGUUAAUACCUUGCUGUUUUGACGUUACCAACAGAAUAAGCACCGGCUAACUUCGUG
rnacentral:rRNA from 1 species